rnacentral:lncRNA from 1 species
AUGCGGAUGGACAGUGUGUGUUUUUCCUCUAGGUGUGUGGGCCGACUUCUCUCCUAUGUUAUCGCAGAAUCCUAUAUUCUGUCAUUCUGCAUCCUGCGGCGUCCCUCACAGAUAAAUGAUCGAGCUCAGCCGGAGGAUGUGUUUAGAUCUAGCAAUCCCUACUCCAUGAAGCUGGAGUUUGUGGACGAUCCAAACUUCCCGAAUAAAAAGGUCAAUUACUCCUACAGCGCCGUCCAAAUCCCUACGGACAUCUAUAAAGGCUCACCGGUCAUCCUGAAUGAGCUAAACUGGACCCAGUCUUUGGAGAAAGUAUUCAUUGAUAAUCGCCGGGAGGACAGCUCUCUGCGGUGGCAGGUGUUCGGCAGCGCCACAGGGGUCACGAGAUAUUACCCAGCCGCUCCGUGGAGCAGUACACAGAAUAAGAUUGACCUGUAUGAUGUCCGCAGACGGCCGUGGUACAUCCAGGGAGCGUCAUCUCCCAAGGACAUGGUCAUCAUUGUGGAUGUGAGCGGCAGUGUCAGCGGACUCACUCUGAAGCUGAUGAAGAACUCGGUGGUGAAGAUGCUGGAUACGCUGUCUGACGACGACUACGUGAAUGUGGCCAGGUUUAGCGAGAAGGCCGAGGCGGUGGUCCCCUGCUUUAAGACCUUGGUCCAGGCCAACAAGAGAAACAAGAACAUCUUCAAGGAGUCCAUCAUGAACAUGCACGCCAAAGGAACAACCGACUACAAGUCUGGCUUCCAGUUCGCCUUCGAACAGCUGCUCAAUGUAACCCCCAGGGCGGGCUGCAAUAAGAUGAUAAUGAUGUUUACCGAUGGGGGGGAGGAUCGUGCUCAGGACAUCUUUGAGAAGUACAACUGGCCCAACAAAACUAUUCGAGUAUUUACCUUUUCGGUAGGGCAGCAUAACUAUGAUGUCACACCUCUGCAGUGGAUUGCCUGCGCCAAUAAAGGCUUCUACUACGAGAUUCCAUCCAUUGGAGCAAUUCGGAUAAACACACAGGAGUACCUGGAUGUUCUGGGUCGGCCUAUGGUUCUGGCGGGGCCAAGGGCCAAACAGGUCCAGUGGACCAAUGUGUACCAAGAUGCUCUUACUCUAGGUCUGGUCAUUACUGGGACCAUGCCAGUCUUCAACCUAACGGCUGAUGCUAACUCACAGCUCGUCCUCGGCGUCAUGGGAGUGGAUGUGGCGAUCAGCGAAAUUAAGAAAAAGACGCCAACAUACAGGCUUGGAGCUAACGGUUAUACCUUUGCAAUAGACCAAAAUGGCUAUUUACUUCUUCACCCCAACCUGCAGCCGAAGAUCAUUAACUUCAUAGAGCCUGUCACUUUGGACUUCCUGGAUGCUGAGCUGAUGGACAGCAAAAAAGAAGAGGUAACUAGGGCACUCAGCAGAACACCCACACCUCAACAAUGCAGGCUGGUGUUGCCCACGUACAGUGAGAACCACAUCAAGGCCAACCUGAGUGACCAGAUCCUGCAGGUGCAGUAUUUUGAAUCACUGCUGCCAAACAGUUUUGAGUCUGAAGGACAUGUGUUCAUAGCUCCCAGGGAAUACUGCAACGAGCUGGAGCUCUCCAACAACAACACAGAGUUUCUUCUCAACUUCAUCGCCCUCAUGGAGAAGGUGACUCCCGACUCCAAACAAUGUGACAGCCUGCUCCUUCACAACCUCAUCCUGGACACUGGCAUCAUCAGACAGCUGGUGGAGAAGGUGUGGAAGACCAAAGACCUUGCAUCAUAUGGCUUUUUGGCAGUGUUUGCUGCAACAGACGGAGGAAUUACCAGAGUUUAUCCCAACAAGGCUGCUGAGACCUGGGAGGAGGACCCCGAGCCGUUUAACGCCAGUUAUUACCGGCGUAGUCUGGACAACAAAGGCUACAUCUUCAGAGCACCUUAUCAGAACGACACCAUUGGGAUCCUGGUCAGCACUGCAGUGGAGAUCACGGUUGGAGGGAAAACCCUGAAACCUGCUGGUGAGCUGUCCUCCACACAUCACCCACUCUGGGAGCGAAGCUGUGAGAUGGACUGCGACUACAACUCUGAAGAUCUUCUCUGUUACCUAUUGGAUGAUGGAGGUUUUCUGAUUAUGUCCAAUCAGAAGGAGCACUCGAACAAGGUUGGCAUGUUCAUCACUGAAGCGGAUCAGUACCUUAUGCAUGCUCUCUACAACAACUCCCUUUACAACCGAAAGCAGUCCCUUGACUACCAGUCUGUUUGUGAACCUGUGCCAACCAGCAACACCGGGGCUGCACCAAGAGGAGUGUUUGUGCCGACCAUUGCAGACUUUGUGAACCUGGCCUGGUGGACAUCAGCCGCCGUGGAGGCUGAGGGGACGGACUCCAAGGAGACCAGCUGUGUGACGAUACAGACACAGUUUUACUUCACUAACGUCAGCAGCUCCUACGGCAUCAUGCAGGACUGUGGAAACUGCUCCAGGCUGAUCCAUGCCAGGAAGUUAAACAACACAAACCUACUGUUUGUGGUGGCAGAGAAGUUGCCCUGCAAUGCCUGUGAGGCGGAGAAAUUGUCCCAGGUGGAGACUGAAUGUAUCCUUACCCACGCGGCGCGGUAUCGAAAAGGGCCCACCGUGUGCUACGACUACAACAUCACUGAGAAUACAUCGGACUGUGGGCAGGGCUACUCUUUCCGGCCAUCCGUCCAUACCCUGCUCACGAUCCAGCUCAUCCUCCUCUACCCAAUCGCCGGCCCCCAUAUUCUGCCCCUCCUACUUUAAUUCUGCUCCUUUCUGCACUCCCCAGCUCUUUGUCCAUCCUGAACACCCCCUCCCAACCCCCCAACCCCCCCCCCCCUCCCCCCCAGUGCCCUGUCCCUGCUCUAGUCAUAGGUAAUUGAGGGACUUCCUGUCACCGCAACUCGGAAGCCCUGAGUACCGCGCUACUCUACCCAGCUAGCUUCGAUUGUUGUUGCUUAGUGACAGUUGCAGGACCUUGCACGUCCUUCAGCGGGUUACAUGCCUUCAUCCAUGUGAAGAGAUUGAGAAGGCGGUGCUCAACCAAUCAACAGAGGCUACAUCAGAAAAAGAAAAAAAGACCCCACUCUCCCAUUUGCAUCAACAGGACGAGAGACAAGUGAAAAGACACAGAAAAAAAUGACUAGUUGGAUGCCAUGCCGCGGAGCCUUAGCCGUCAUGGACAUUGCGGAGUUUAGCUUGUCUCUUUCCGCCGCGGUUAGUCGAGACAGGAUGAAGAGAUGUGGCCUCUGUCUGUCUCCCUCCUCAGAUCUGCCUUCUCACAGGUCUCUUAUUCGCCUCGCAUAGUGGGCUACUGUGCUGACCAUUCUACCACAUAUCUACUAGAACAAGAAGAUUAAGGGGUGAAAAAAAAAGAACAUACAUCAACAUACAAUUUUAAACUGUUCAAGUGAUGAGUAUUCGAAGCUAAUGUUAGGGUAUCAUUUGCAAUGGAAGUUUUUAGGUGUUACAUUAAGUUAUUUAUGCACUAUAUCUACUUCUUGCCAAAAUGAGAUAGACUUUUAAUGUGGUCUUAUUUUUAUAGCCAAAUUAGUGAGAAACCUAGAAAGGGAAGCUAGAGGAAUAGUGUUAAGAAUAACCGUUAGAAAGCGGCUAAAAACAGAUUCUGUUUCUACAUCUCUAUCUUGUUCUUUAAGUUUGAAAUUGUUCGGCUCCGGAAAAACAGUAAUGUAUUUGAUAUAAUUGCAACAAAGAUAGAAAAAUCCGUAACUAUUCUACAAAAUAGUAGAAUAAAAAUCGGACAUUUAACUGAAGAAAUGAAUAG